AUUGGGAUAACUGGGUCAAAUGGUGGUUCCAUUCCACGUUUUCUAAGGAAUCUCCAUACUGCUUUCCAGAGUGGUUGCACCAUCUUACAGUCCCACCAGCAAU
rnacentral:pre_miRNA from 1 species